rnacentral:lncRNA from 1 species
CUGCGUUUUUACAUCUGUGCCUGGUAUGCAUCGAAGGCCGCCAACAAUUUUACACAGCGACUGGCUUCGACGAUGAUAUAGAAGACGUCCUCCACCAUGCUACCCGGCACGCAGCUAGCUCCGGCAUUCUUCUGCACCACUGUCGCCUUUGUCCUCAGUAACCCAAUGUUCCCCCUGGCUGCACCCACAGUCUUCAACUGCAGCCCCCGUGCCUUCCAUUAUGCAGCCUGACCAUGAUUUCAUUCACCACGUAAUUUUCAAUCCAGAUUUCUUCCACCGCUUCAUUGAGAUUGAGGUCCUGAAUUCCUCCACUACAUGGUAAAGAUUAAAUAUAGCAUUGCGUUGUAUCAGAGUUUAGAUCAGAAAGAUUACCUAAGCCAUGCUAGCUAUAUCACAUUUAAAUUUGUCACCCUAAUUUUUAGCUGUGGUGGCUACUUUUUGCAAAAUUUUGGUAGCGUUAUUUUUUUUCCUUUCCAUCGCAUAUAUAUCAUAUAGGACAAUUGUUUCCAACAACCGUCUACCA